ACCCGGGGACGGGGCCGUGGGGGGAAGGGAGAGUCAGCGACACGGGGACAGAAGACCAGGAGGGCACGCGUUCCCAUGGCGUGUGGGUGAGGAGCCCCCGGCAGUCCUGGCGCCAGGCCGCCCCAGCUGCCCAAAUCCCGACGCACACGAGGAACAGGCCCCAGCCAGGCCGCACGUGUGACAGGCCUGCAGGAGAUUCCACUGGGUCCCCGCCCCAGACCCAGCUCCCGCGGCUUUUCUUCCGUCUGUCCUGUCCUCAGAAGGGCUCCCCUGGGCUGCUCCGUGGUCCUGCCAGUCCUGGCUGUGAGCUGCACUAGGAGACCCUGAGGGCAGGCCUCAUCCCGGACUCUCCAGGUCCUCUCGGGCCACAGGGUCCAUUCGGGUGGUGGGCCCCGGCAUGUGCGGACUGGGACCCAGUGAUCUGAGAAGCAGGUGAUGAAUUGUUCCCAUUCCCUAAGGACUCUGGUUCAUGGAAUAACACCUGUGGGUGAAGGGGGGUGCUGGGGGUCCCUAUUUGUGGCACAGCACUAACCAGGGCAAAAGCAAAAUAGCUCCCUCUUCAAAAUUUAUAAAUUUCAAAACUUCACUGCAAACCUUUUGCAGUGAGAACAGCUACAUUUCUGCACGUCUCUCCCUGCGGCCCUGACAGGCAGGAGACGGAAGGCGUGAGCUGGCAUGGGCUGCGGGUGAGGAGAGGCUGGCGUACAGCAGCAGCCCCGUCAGGUCACAUGUGGACGCCUGGAACCGCUGGGAGGAGCCCAGCUCUUCUGGAGUGCUCUGGGGCUGCCUGCCUGACCUCUCCAAGGCCCUGGGCUCCUGGGGGCACCUGUGUUCUGCCUGGGUAGUGGGUCAGGGAGUGGUUGACCCUCCGAGAACCCAACCUGCACCCUCGUGGACGACAUGGUGAAGUAUCUCCAUGCUGAGGGUCCUUCUGUGUUUCGAUGGAGAGAGAAGAGCCCAGGGACCCAAAGGGAGGCCAUGGUCCUGCUGAAGUCUGCGGCAUCCUACACACACCGUCAGUGUGGAAGGGAAAGAGCGGGGUGGGGUCCGAACUUCUUCAAAGCCUCAUGCUUGACCUGGGCAGGUUACCUCUCCUCGGGACCUUGGCUGUCACAUCUGCAAACAGAGCAGCGUCUGCCUCUUCCCCGGUGUCGCGAUGACCCAGAAGCCUGGGGAUUUGCUGGUGAACUCCAGUAGGCCCCAUUUCCCUUGUCUCUGAAGCCAUAAGCCAUUCAGUUGCCAAUUGCUCUGACCACAGAAACGAGCCGAGCUGGGAGAGCUGGUGGGCUGGGCGACGGGCUGUGCGGCGGGAGGGGAAGCUGGGUGGAGGGUGCAAACUGAAGGACACUCACCUCAUCAAAACCAGCAGGGCCCUGGGGACCUGAGUGGCCCAGGAGGGCGGAAGCAUCCCGGAGAGUGGACCACAGAAGGGACCACAGAAGGGGCGAGUCCGUGGACAGCAGGGCCAGGGAGUCAGGGGUGAGUCUGAAGUUACCUCCUCGGGAGGAUGACCAGGGUAAACCUGGAAUGGCCACUCAGCAGUGGGAUCAGCAGUCGAGACCAGCCUGUGGUGAGCUGUGGUGUGGACGGGGAGAUUUAAGAGCCUCUUUCUGGGAAGCUGUGUGAUAGAGGAUGGGGGAGGGGGUUAGGAGCCAGGACAGGCUCUUUAGGGAGGGGCUUGGGCAUGAAGGCAAAGAGCCAGCCCUGCAGGGGAGGCUGAAACCCCUGUUGUGGCCCCAUCUCGGUCCUAAAAGAUCCUGGGUCAGGCGAAGGGAUGGGCUGGGAGUCGGUUGGGGACCGCUCCCCACUGCAGCUGGAGAGGAAGACAGUAGUCACUGGGUGGGUUACUGCUGAGGCUGAGGGUCCUGAGUGGGUGGGGAAGUCAAGGGCUGUCCCCAGUGGUCUAGAGCUGGCCUGGAGUGGUGAAGGCAGGGCUCAGCGCCCUGAGUGUGGGUGCCCCACAGAGGAGAGGGCUGGGCUAUGGGCUCCGGACUGGCUGGUCUGCAUCUGGAAGGUGCGCUCCCGGAGGAGUAACCCUAAGAGCAGUCCCUCCAGCGUCAGCAAGGCCCCAAGAUGUCAGUGAGUCAGGAAAUACAGAAAAUAAAAAAACAUAGUCAAUACAGAACACACAGAUGCUUUGCAAUUUCAAGCAUUGUUUUUUCACCAAUAGUUAUUCUUUCAUUUAUUUAGGUCUUCUUUUUAAUUCUUUGAUAGUGUUUAAAAUUUUUUUCUACAUAAAGAUUUCACAUUUUACUAGAUUGAUUCCUGGAUGUGUUGUAAUUUUGCAGUGGUAAAAUAAAGGAAUCUAUUUAAAAAUUUAAAAAAUUUUUAUUGAAGUGUAGUUGAUUUAUACUGUUAGAUUCAGAUGUACAGCAAAAAGAUCCAGUUAUACAUAUAUAUAUAUAUAUAAUUGUUUUUCUUUUCAGAUUCUUUUCCAUUAUAUGUUAUUACAAGAAAUUGAAUACUGUUCCCUGUGCUCUACAGCAGAUCCUUGCUGUCUAUUUAUUUUAUGUAGAGUAGUGUGUAUCCGUUAAUCCCAAACGCCUGUUUUAUCCCUCUCCCAACCUUUCCCCCAAGGAAUUUUUUUAAAGUCACUCUUUCUAAUUGUUUGUGGCGCAUGUUAGACGGCGGGGAGGAGGGGCCCUGGAGGAUGCUCCGGCCCCAGGGGGACACGGCCCCAGGAUGAUGCAGCUGAGUGUCGGACCCCAGCACGUGCAGAGAGCAAGUGUCCAGGAGAACCACAGAAUCCUGAGAAAUAAUCGAUGGUGUGGUUUCCAGUCGCUGGUGGUGGUACGGUCUGGUCUGCAUUCCAUUUCAAGCUAACGCUUGGGGGGGCCUGGAGUGAGGAUGGAGGCUGCAUGUCCGGCACCGUUUGUCAGUGUGAACAUCCUCGCCCUAUUGACUUCCCUCGACAGCUCUGUGAUGUGCACAUGUGGGUCCGUCUCUGGACCCUGCAUGCUGACACCCGUGCUGGUAUCACACCGCCCUGAUUACUGACGCUUUAGGUUAAGCCUUGAAAUCAGAUAAUGUGAAUCCUCCAAGUGUUCCUCUGCCAAAACUGCUUCGACCCACGUGGAGCCUUUCACUUCCCAUAUAAACUUCAGAAUGAAUUUGUUAGUAUCCCAGAAACACUUGUUGGGAUUUCUCAUGAGAUUGUGUUGAAUCUGCUGGUCGGUUUGGGAAGAUCAACCUCUUGGUAACGCGGUUGCCCGUCCCUGAGUGUGGUGCGCAUCGCGUUGAUCUAGGUUGUCUUCCAUUUUCUCAGCAGCAUUUUAUCAUUCUUGCUUAUCGUCUGCAGGUCUCACCUCUGCUUGUCUAAUUCUGCCCUUCAUUGUAUUAUGUUUUGAUGCUGUUGUAAAUGAGAUUGUUUCUAUUUCAGUUUCCAGAGUCUGUUGCUAGUGUCCAGAAGCACAACUGAAUUCCGUAUGUUUGCGGUGUGUGCUUCGCCCUUGCUAAGUUCAUGCAUUAAUCCUGUAGCAUGUUUGUGGAUUUCUUAGGACUCUCCCGACUCACAGCCACGCUACCCGGGGAGGAAGAUGGUUUUAUUUUUUCCUCCUCAUCCCGUGUGCCUUCAUGGCUGUUAUCUCCUUGCACUGACUGACACCCGCUGCCCAGUGCUGAUCAGGGUGGUGCCUCGUUACCAAUUUUAGGGGAAAACAUUCAGUCUGGACGUUAGCUGUGCAUUUUCAGAGGCACAUUUAGUAAAGUGGAGGACGUUGCCUUCUGUUCCCGGUUUGCUGAGAGUUCUCGUCAUCCUGUCAAAGCUCUGUUGUAUAGUUCUUCUCCUUCAUUCAGUUAAUAUGUUGGAUUAAAUUGGUUGAUGUUCCAAUCUUAAACCAACCUUGUUUUUCUGGAUAAGCCCCAACUUGAUCACAUAGAAUUAUAUUUGUUUUUAACUAUGUCUUUUGUGAUUGUUUUUAAAGCUAUCAUUUAAAAAUGAAUCAUGUUUUUUUGUGUCAUAUCUCAAGAAUCCUGCUUAACCCAAGGUCACAAAUACUUUCACCUAUUCUCUUCAAAAAGUUUUAUAAUUUUAUAUUGUACAUUUAAGUAUGUAAUCCUUCCUGAGCUACUUUUAUAUGAUAUUAUACAUACACACAGAAGGGUUUUACAAUUUUUUGCGCAUGGCAUCUGUGGUUCCGUACCGUUUAUUGUAAGCACUACCGUUUCCCCACGGAACUGCAUGUGCACCUUUGUCAGGAGCCAGCUGACAGCAUGCAUGUGCUUCUGUUUCCGGGCAGUCUGUCCUGCCCCGUUGAUCUGUUUAUCCAUUUUAGCGCCCAGCCCGCCCCGCCUUGAUCGCGGGAGCCCUACAACACGUCUUGAGGUCGCUUAGUGCUGGUCCUCAGGCUUGGUUUUCCUUUUUGAAAGUCGGUCCAGCUGUCCCAGGUCCUUUCCAUUUCCACGUGCAUCUUAGCAUCAGCCGUGACUUUCCACAGAAAACCCUUCUGCCAUUCUGAGUGGGACUGUGUUGCUCUGGAUUUCGAAUCACUUUGGGAGAAGCGACAUCUUAGCAACCUCGAGUCUUGUGGUCCGUCAGCGUGCAUGUGUCGCAGCUUGUUAAGGUUUUCUUCGCUUUCCCUCGGCUCAGGGUGGAAAUCUUGAACGCCUUCUGUCGGGUUUAUCACAGCGCAUUGAGUUUCUGGUGCUGCUGCACGUGACACUUGAGAUGUCCGUUCUGAUUGUUCAUUGCUCGUGUGUAGGAGGGCAUCUCACUUCUCGUGCAGAUCUUGUGUCGUGAACUGACCAGGCUCCCUUGUGAGUUCUAGUAGCGCUCUCGUAAGCUCUGUGUCUUCUAGGCAGAAGACCGUGCUCUCUGCAAAUAAAGGCAUUUUCACUCCUCCUGUUCUCAUGUUCUGACUUGGAUCCCUUACUUCUCUUACUGGCUGGAACCCUGAGUGAGCUGUUGGACAGAAGUGGUGACAGUGGACAGCCCUGCAUUUCCCACUUGGGCAAAGCACGUUAUCCUUUUCCUUAUGCUGCUGGAGGCUGUGUGCAGACGCUUUAAAUGGCGACGUGCCUGCGUAUUCGAGCAGGCACAGCGUCCUCUCCUGCAGCGUCCACGUCUGGCUUCGGUGCCAGCGCAGCGCUGGCCUUUAGGAAGGGCUGUUUAGUUCUUCCGGAGUUUCUGGGCGAGUUUGCGUGGUGCCGGCAUCACCUCUUCCUCAAAUGUUUGGCGGGGGUUCCCGUGAAGCCACCUGGUGUCAUUUUCUUUCUGGGGCCAUUUUAAUUCAAAUUCAGAUUCUUUAAUAAUCAGAGCGUAGUGCCCGUGAGCCUUUAAUCGCCCUUUUCUUCCUCCUGGAAGGACGCAAGGCUCGUUCUGACUUAGGAGGAUCUCACCUUGAGCUUUUACCUUAAUUUCACCUGCAAAGACCCUGUUUCCAAAUAAGGUCACAUCCGCAGGUACUGGGGAGCGGGACUUGGGCAUGUCUUUUUGGGGGGGACACCGUCCAGCCCACUGCAGCCCUCACAAAUCUUGGGCAAUUUUGGCAGAAUCCAUGACUAGAUGUUAAAGAUAAAAGCCAGUGUGUGUCGGCUCCACGUGACCCCUCUGUCCACGGCAUCACUCUGUUGAGAUCAGAGCUCAGGGCUCCCUUCCUCGUGGGCUGGGGGUUACCACCUCCGUGGAAGCGGCUCAACCAAGGAGCCCUCUUCCAAAAGCAGCCUAGUGAGUCUGCAAAGGACGGCUCAGGAACCCGCACGAUUCCACCAGCUCUGGGGAGCGAGUUCGUCUGUGGGCCGGCAGCCCCUCUUGCCCUCAGGCUUUGUCUCACGGCAAGUUCCCCACCAUCCUCAUUACAUUUGCUCGACAGGCCUUUAGGGCAGUCUUCCAUACACAUCUGGCCUUAAGAUGCCCAAGCAACCAGUUUGCUGCAGACUGUCCCAGUCCUCAGCAUCUUCUCCAAAACUGCCCACGCCUGGCCGACCGAGCACCUGCGGGCAUCUGCUGUGUGUCUGGUCCUGGGAGCCCCCGGGAGGGAGGCGUCCAGCUGCAGUGCUCCCGGUGAGCCGGGGGACGGGGCUGCUGGGCCCGUGUUCUGCCCCAGGACCCCCCACCCCCGUGCAGGGAACAACUGCCAACGCAGCAGAGGUGACUGUGCAGGCGAAUGAGUUUCUAAGAUCGUGAAGUAUUCCCUGCUGUGCUUUUGUAUUCAACUCAGCACUGCUGCAGCUUGGACAAAAGGAAGAAAAUAUUGCCUAUUUGGGGACUUCAACGUGUCAAAACACAACAUCGAAGCAGGUCAACCAGCUAAAAGCCAUUGCACACACCUGCGGGGUGGGUCCUGUGCACAGGAGAGUCACUUCCUCUGCAGUCAGUUUGGUUUCAAGGUGCACACCCAAUACAGAAACACAGGGAAGCACUGCUUCAUAGACUAAGGAAUGUACACUGAUGGUUCCUUGAAACAAAGAUAACGCAGACAUCUCGGUGUCCCUGAGUGCCCAGUGGAAGUCCUGUUUCUCCGCCUGUGUGAGGGUGAGGGUGGCUUCUGGCUGGAGGGCCUUCCAGAGCCCUCCCUCCUCCCCAGGCCAGCAGAGGCCGGGGCACUGGCCAUGAGGGCAUCCAGCUCCAUCCAGCGUCCUGGCCCUUGGGGUGUCGUUGCCGAGCCGGGCUGCCCAGGAGCUGGUGACCCAGCCAACGUCACUCCCAGCCUGGGUCGGUUUGGUGCCCUCAGCACAGGCUUUUCUCUGGCGACCCCGCGUGGGCCCAGAACUGGCCAGAAGUGGCAGUGUUGUGUGCCCAGGGCAGCAGAAGGUGGCCUUCUCUGGAUGGUGGGCACCGUGGCACCCAUCUCCCCUGAGAGCUGGAGCUGGACAAGCCCUGAGCCCAGUGCCCUCAGACCCCUCUCCCUCCUGUGGCCACCUGGGCUCUGCGCGGCGCCGGGGUCCUUGUCCCUCAGCAUCUGGACGCUCAAGGGCAUCUCGCUGCUGCCCUCGCCCCUCCUCAGAGCCUUUCUCCUUGGGCUUCCUGGGGCCGGGAGUCUCCUGCCACCUUCCUGGCCUUGGCGGGUGACGCCUGCUCCCUCAUCCACCCCUUGACAGCACCUUCCCCAGGCUCCCCCUCCCCUCCAGGCCUCUUGUUCCCUCCCUCCCUCCCCUCCUCCUCACUCCGGCGAUAUAGGGCCGUUCUACAGACAGAAAAAUUGAGACACAAGAAACAGCGGCCGAGAUCCUAGUCAGGACUGUGAAGGCUGCGGCCGUGACUCUCAUGGGCUUUUCCCUCUGCUCGUGUGUCAGGACGGACGGUGUCCUGUGGUCACUCACGGCUGCAGGCUGCCUUCUCGACACAGGUCUUAGUUUUACAGAGCUUGGACUUGGAUUUCAGAUAAAACCGUCUUCCUCAGAGACACAGACAUUUGACAUCAAGUGUGUGACGCCGACAGCGUGCCGGCGAUCCACGCCACUGUCCUGGAGACGCAGGUUUAAGGGGCCCCUGGGGAUUUAAAGUCUCAUCAUCCAGGCAGCGCCUCCCUUAGCAGUGUCGCCUGUCCCACCUUCCUCGGCAGGAAGAUGGUUCUCCUCGGCGUGGAGCGCAGUCUGAGACGCUGCUCGUUUCAGGGGGCCUCUGAGCAAACCAAACCGCCUUAGAAACUCAGAGGCACAGCUCCUUCACGUGCUGGGCUUGCAGAGCAAGUGUUUGCAGAGGAAAGGCAUGUUCCUGAAGGAGGAGAUCGACGGUGAGGAGGGGACAGAGGCCAGGCCACAUCCUUCCUCACCUCGUUAGUGACAGAACAUGUACAUCUCAGAAGGAAGUAUUGUCACCCGGGAUAAAGAUGGCAUUUCCCAGCCUACCAGCCAGUUAGCUGUACUCAUGUGACUCAGUUUGGAGCCAGAUGGGACACAAGCACAAGAUUUGUGGGACUUCUGGGAAGCACCCUUAAGGAGAGGGUGCUUUCCUAGUGGCUGGAAGGUGAAUGUAAUGGCUGGAGCUACAGCAUCCAUCUUGGGCCAUGGAACAAUUUUCGGAGUGGAAGGCGUGCUACCAGAGCAACCAGAGAGACGGAGCCUGAGUUCCGGACCUCGUGGAGCGUGGACGGUGCCCCCAAACCUGGGGCUGCCACUGGCCUUCGUGACUGGGAAGAAGUGAGCUUCUAGCUUCAAGUUGUUGCCACUUUGGAUCUUUCUGCAACUUGCAAGUGAACUUAGUCCUGAUGAAAGAACAGGCCGCUAGGGAUGCUUGGACUGAAAAAGCAAAGCUCGGGAAGAUGUGGUUUUGAUCCUUUGAUGUCAGACUAGAUUUCGGCACUGGCCGCUGUGUACUGAGACUGCGGAGCCCUUUGAGGUCCCUCUGGCCGUCCCUGCCUCCUGCUUCCUCUCUCAGCCCCGAGCCGUCCUCGCCCCAGUUUCCGCAGGGCCCCUGGCCCAGCCCCCUCACCCCUUCUCACACUGCUUCACUCCCUGAAGCCCCUGCUGUCCCUUCAGGAGAGCCCCCCGCCCUCAGUGCUCUGACGCCCCGGGACUUCUUUAUUCAUUGCGAAGCCUGAGAACGUUGUAAGGCACCAGGAGACGUUUCUCAAAAGUGUCACCUUUGCUCUAAGCUCUGGGGACAUUUUGGUUGUAUCAUAUCAUUGUCUGAAUAAAAAGAGAGAAGAGA